UACGUAGGUGGCAAGCGUUGUUCGGAAUUACUGGGCGUAAAGCGCGUGUAGGCGGCUCUUCAAGUCAGACGUGAAAGCCCCGGGCUUAACUCGGGAACUGCGUUUGAUACUGUCGAGCUAGAGUGUGGAAGGGGCGAUUGGAAUUCCGUGUGUAGCGGUGAAAUGCGUAGAUAUGCGGAGGAACACCGAUGGCGAAGGCAAUCCCCUGGACCUGUACUGACGCUCAUGCACGAAAGCGUGGGGAGCAAACAGG
rnacentral:rRNA from 1 species